AGCUUACGCUAAAGCUGCGUAAGUUUAUUUAACCUUUGGGGCUAUUUUUGGUAAAGAUUCUAGCUAUUUUCCAAAAAUAUCAUUUAUGCUAGAUGCAAUCUUGCCUCGCCAAAGCAAGAUGAAGUUUUGGCUGUCUUUGUGAAUGAUUUUAGGAAGUUUUGCUUCACAAAAAAGAUUAAAACCCUAAAAAGCAUGUAAUCCAGCAGUGUUGGUCUAAUUUUUGGACUGGGGUUUGAUUCCCCACAGCUCCACCA
rnacentral:tmRNA from 1 species